rnacentral:lncRNA from 1 species
GUUACCAUAAAGCACCAAUGCUGCAGCAAGCAAAGGCUCUAGCAGCUCAGCCAGCUGCUUGUGGCUGGAAAGCCAGGCAGGAUGUUUGUGACUGUUGCCAUGGGAACAAAGGGGCAGUCCAUUCUGUACUGAGCACCGGAUGUUAGCUCAGUGUGUGUGUGUCUUAUGACCCGUACUGGAUGUACUUGGGAGGAGUUUCUUCUUGCUGUUGUUGAGUGCAGACAUGAUUCUCUGUACUGAUGUAAGAGGCAGAAAUAAAUGAUGUAAAUAGUUUUCUGUCUGCUUCUUUCCCCCCCUGGGGACACCAAAGGGGAGAGAGGAAGAACGGUGUGUUCCUCUCAUACAUCUGAGAAGAAUCGCCGGACCUCGCCUGCUUAUCAGCAGAGUGGAGACGCGGGGAGGUCGACAGGAAUAUCUGCCGGUGCCUACGCUGUGGCACAUUCCUCUGACCCAGGCAGAAUUCCAACAGUGGUAGCAGAGGAUGGUUGCGAUUCAUCGGACAUCUGCAUGAGAGGCUGGUGGAUUGUCCUCCACUGCUCCUAAGGAGGAAUAGAAGCGUCUGAAAGAAGCCAGAGGCUCCACAGACAGCUGGUGGAAAGAAGAGGUGUUUUCCAGAGCAACAAAGUUCAAGGUAUGCUGCAUUUCGGGCUAAAAGUGUGAACGCAGGAAGAUUAAUUCCUGGUUCACGGAGCUGCGUUUCAAAGAAAACACAAGCUCCGUGAGGAAGAGGCCUGCAGCUUGAAGGCUGAAGCCUGCAUUCCACAAAUUGUUGUGGUAGAUAAGGAGUCCCAUUGAAAUGCAUUGUUGCUAGGUAACGGUCCUGGAAAGUUACUGGCAAAGGGGCUGGACUCUGAGUGUAAGCCUGGGAAAGCGAAACAAAACCAGAGAAUGUUUUGGCUACAAGGUUUACGAGCUCUUGGAAGGGACUUUUCAAUAGCAGCCUGAGUUUAGCUGCCAGGUGCAAAGAGCGUAAACAAUUUGCAGUUUGCUGCGUGAGAAAGAAAAAAACAACUGUUGGAUUUUACAGUUUGUUUGACAUUGUGAGCUGGAGGCUUGGCUUCAAGAUGGAUGCCAAGAAAGGAGGUUUGCCUUGCCCACCUCCCUUAACCAAUGACAAUUAUUCAUCUUGGUCUGUAAAGAUGAAGGCCCUGCUGCAGAAUCAGAGGCUUUUUGAUGUAAUUGAAAACCCCAUCCCUGCAGCACCAACCAGAGGUUGGGAGUCACAGAAUGUAAGGGCCAGGACUGCUAUAAUUCUGUGUGUCUCAGAUGAUCAGUUGGUGCAUGUUCAGCAUUUAGAAAAUGCGAAAGAGGUAUGGGACACGCUGCGUACAACGCAUCAGAGAGAUGCUGGUUCUUCAGCGUUGCUGUAUUUUGAGAAAUUGACCAAUCUGAGACUUGCGCCUGAUGGAGAUGUUCAAGCGCACCUGACAGAAAUGAAGUUUCUGCGUCAACAGAUGGUGGAACGCAAUUUCCGUCUUCAGGAGGAAGUGUUUUGCUUCAUGAUGAUAAACAGCCUUAGCCGCACCUACAAGGUUGUUGCCAGUCAGCUUGGUUCCCUACCGGCCGCGCAGCUGACCGCGGAGAGAGUUUGUGCUGUGGUCCUGAAUGAACACGACAGACUUGCUGCACUGGAAGAAAAAGAAAUGGGGGGGAAUAACAGAGUUCUAAUUCCCCCACUGCUGAUGCUACUGGAGAGCAUGGUGUAGCAUUGAGUGCUGUCCGAUGCUACAAUUGUGGACAGACUGGGCAUCUACAGCGAAACUGUAAGAAGCCGCGCCAGUCAAGAGGAGCAAAGAGCAGCUCUACGAAGCCUCAGGCGUCAGGCAAAAGCCGUUCCAAGUGCCAGGUGAAACCUGCAAAGGCUAUGAUGGCGAAAGGAACCACGCCAGAUGUUGGGAACUCGUUCAUAAUUGACACGGGCGCAACGGUUCAUAUGUGCCCGCACAGAGGACUGUUUUCGACGUUGAAGAAGCAAAGCUUCACUGUGAAACAGGCCAACGGUCAGGAGUUGGAAGCGACUGGAAUUGGGACUGUGUAUCUUGAGAGUCUGAACUUGACUAUAAAUGAUGUUUACCUGGUUCCAGAACUGAGAUUUAAUCUGCUGAGCGUGUCGCAGAUUGCAAAGAAAGGACUGAAACUGUCCUAUGAUGCUAAAAGCUGCAAGAUCUACAAAGAUGGAGAACUGUUUCUUACUGCCAAAGAGAAAGAUGGACUGUAUUUGUUGACUUUUGAUCAAAGUGAUUACAUGAAAUGUAAUUCUUCUGUUUCUAACGAAAUCUCUCUUGCAGGGGUGACCAUGACCAGUGUGAGCACCAGGAAGGUGACUAAGACGAAGAAGGUCAACAGAGCAUUUCAGCGGGUGUAUGCUGAUGUGAUUGGUCCUCUAGAACCAUCUAGAGGCGGUGCAAAAUAUUACCUUUUGUGUGUGGAUUGUUUCACUAAUUAUUCUUGGGUUUAUAUGAUGGAGAAACCGCAAGAAACUUUAGAAAAGUUUCAGGAGUUUUGUGACAAGGUUAAAAGUAUGCAUGAUGCUAACAUUGAUUGUCUUUUCACAGAUGAGAAGCAAAUUUUUCUGUUGCAGAAGUUUCAGAAGUUCCUGGAUGGAAAAGGGAUAGACCACAAAGUGGCAGUUUCGCAAGAAGCGUGGAACAGGGGGGUCUGUGUAAGAGUGAACAAAGAAUUGCAAAAGGGGAUGAAUGCGCAAUUGCUGAGUUCACAUUUGCCACAUGAAUAUUGGGCCGAAUCGCUAGCGUCCUAUCUUCAUGUGUGGUUGAGAAAAGUCUCAACAGAGUUGGGAUGUUCUCCUUUUGAGAAGCUGUUCAAUAGAAAACCUUCUGUUGCCUAUUUUAAGGUUUUCGGGUCUCAUGUGAGAACAGAAGCUCCAGGUGGAGUAAAGAAUGCCAGAGGCAUUUUCGUAGGUUAUGAAAAAGGUCUCUACAGAGUAAUUUUGUCUGAAUCUGGUCAGGUGAUUCUCACAAAGUUCCUAGAGAGUGCUCCAAAGCAAGAGCGGAUAGUACAGACAUUUCCCACAGGAAACGAUUCUGAUGAUGAUGAUGAUGAGUUUGAUCUUAUUGAGUUCAGUAGUACUGAUGAUGACAGAGAUAGCUCAGACAGUUCAGUUGUCACAGUCAUUGAGAGGAAAUCUCACACAAUGGAUAGACCUUCACAGGUGAAGGAAGAACCACUGAUUGCUACUGGUUCUCAACAGAGUCCAAAGGUUGAACCAGUGAGCACAGAGGAUCAGAACCUCAUACGUAGGUCUGAGAGAGCAACGAAGGGUGUACCACCCAAGAGGUAUUCAAAGGAGUUUGCUAACCUUGCAUAUGUUGCUAUUGUAAACGACCAAGGACAGAUUGAAGCUGUGUCUGAGUCAGAGACAAAGGCACAACAGAGAGGUGUUAACCAAGGUAAUGCGAAGUCACACAACCAGAGAGGUACAUUGGUUAAACCAGUGGCGGGUAGUUCCAAGGGUGGAACUGAAACAACAGGGGAAUGUUAUAAAUAUAACAACUGUUUGUUUUCUUCUCUGGAUGACGCUUUGCUCGCGGCACACAUUGAUACUUUAGGGGGAGUAUGUUACCAUAAAGCACCAAUGCUGCAGCAAGCAAAGGCUCUAGCAGCUCAGCCAGCUGCUUGUGGCUGGAAAGCCAGGCAGGAUGUUUGUGACUGUUGCCAUGGGAACAAAGGGGCAGUCCAUUCUGUACUGAGCACCGGAUGUUAGCUCAGUGUGUGUGUGUCAUAUGACCCGUACUGGAUGUACUUGGGAGGAGUUUCUUCUUGCUGUUGUUGAGUGCAGACAUGAUUCUCUGUACUGAUGUAAGAGGCAGAAAUAAAUGAUGUAAAUAGUUUUCUGUCUGCUUCUUUCCCCUCCCUGGGGACACCAAAGGGGAGAGAGGAAGAACGGUGUGUUCCUCUCAUACAUCUGAGAAGAAUCGCCGGACCUCGCCUGCUUAUCAGCAGAGUGGAGACGCGGGGAGGUCGACAGGAAUAUCUGCCGGUGCCUACGCUGUGGCACAUUCCUCUGACCCAGGCAGAAUUCCAAUAAAUUCCUUAUUUGCAUAUGUGGACCUGAGUGAAAACUAUCUACGGUAUCCCCCUGAUGGCCCUGGUUGAGAACUUUAGUACGUAACAAAAAUAGUGUGCCAAAGUACAGUGGUACCUCGGGUUACAUACGCUUCAGGUUACAGACUCCACUAACCCAGAAAUAAUACUUCAGGUUAAGAACUUUGCUUCAGAAUGAGAACAGAAAUCGUGCUCCAGUGGCGCGGCGGCAGCAGGAUGCCCCAUUAGCUAAAGUGGUGCUUCAGGUUAAGAACAGUUUCAGGUUAAGAACCUGAACGAAUUAAGUACUUAACCCGAGGUACCACUGUACAUUCAUCGCAGAGGCGAGAUAACAGCCCAGCUGGAUCAAACCAAAGGCCUAUCUAGUGCAGCCAGGGAUUUGCUAGCAUGCUCAGCCACGAUUCUGUCAGCUCUUUGUUAUACGCUUCUGGGACAAUGCACUCUCAUAGUCAUGUACUGUAUAAGAAAGUUGAACUUAGGAUUUAUGUAGCACAUUUGUAAUUUUUUUUUUUUUAAUGAAUACAGUCAUAGGUUUUUUUCAUCUGGAACUCACCAGAACUCAGUUCCAGCACCUCUCAAACGGACUCCAUUAUAAGAGAACAAGGAAGGCAUUCGUGAUGAGUUCCUGCACCUCUUUUUCUAGAAAAACAGCGGUGAAGACAGUAUUGUCCGGAUAUUUAUUGCAUUUCCUUUCUGUGGAUAAGCCAAGCAGAAAUUCAUUAAAUAUGUAUCUGUUU